AGGAUUAUAGUUAAAAUUAACAUUUAUUUUGCAAAUAGAAAUUAUUGUCAUUCAAUUAAUCUUA
rnacentral:tRNA from 1 species